rnacentral:rRNA from 1 species
UACGUAGGGUGCGAGCGUUGUCCGGAAUUAUUGGGCGUAAAGAGCUCGUAGGCGGUUCGUCGCGUCGAAUGUGAAAUCCCGGGGCGUCAACUCCGGGUCUGCAUUCGAUACGGGCGGACUAGAGUUCGGUAGGGGGAGACUGGAAUUCCUGGUGUAGCGGUGAAAUGCGCAGAUAUCAGGAGGAACACCGGUGGCGAAGGCGGCGACCUGGUCCAUUACUGACGCUGAGGCGCGACAGCGUGGGGAGCAAACAGG